rnacentral:rRNA from 1 species
GGGUUGUGAGGUUAAGCGACUAAGCGUACACGGUGGAUGCCCUGGCAGUCAGAGGCGAUGAAGGACGUGCUAAUCUGCGAAAAGCGUCGGUAAGGUGAUAUGAACCGUUAUAACCGGCGAUGUCCGAAUGGGGAAACCCAGUGCAAUUCGUUGCACUAUCGUUAACUGAAUACAUAGGUUAACGAGGCGAACCGGGGGAACUGAAACAUCUAAGUACCCCGAGGAAAAGAAAUCAACCGAGAUUCCCCCAGUAGCGGCGAGCGAACGGGGAGCAGCCCAGAGUCUGAAUCAGCUUGUGUGUUAGUGGAACGGUCUGGAAAGUCCGACGGUACAGGGUGAUAGUCCCGUACACCAAAAUGCACAGGUUGUGAACUCGAAGAGUAGGGCGGGACACGUGGUAUCCUGUCUGAAUAUGGGGGGACCAUCCUCCAAGGCUAAAUACUCCUGACUGACCGAUAGUGAACCAGUACCGUGAGGGAAAGGCGAAAAGAACCCCGGCGAGGGAGUGAAAAAGAACCUGAAACCGUGUACGUACAAGCAGUGGGAGCACCUUCGGGUGUGACUGCGUACCUUUGUAUAAUGGGUCAGCGACUUAUAUUCUGUAGCAAGGUUAACCGUAUAGGGAGCCGCAGGAAACCGAGUCUUAACUGGGCGUUAAGUUGCAGGGUAUAGACCCGAAACCCGGUGAUCUAGCCAUGGGCAGGUUGAAGGUUGGGUAACACUAACUGGAGGACCGAACCGACUAAUGUUGAAAAAUUAGCGGAUGACUUGUGGCUGGGGGUGAAAGGCCAAUCAAACCGGGAGAUAGCUGGUUCUCCCCGAAAGCUAUUUAGGUAGCGCCUCGUGAACUCAUCUUCGGGGGUAGAGCACUGUUUCGGCUAGGGGGUCAUCCCGACUUACCAACCCGAUGCAAACUACGAAUACCGAAGAAUGUUAUCACGGGAGACACACGGCGGGUGCUAACGUCCGUCGUGAAGAGGGAAACAACCCAGACCGCCAGCUAAGGUCCCAAAGUCAUGGUUAAGUGGGAAACGAUGUGGGAAGGCACAGACAGCCAGGAUGUUGGCUUAGAAGCAGCCAUCAUUUAAAGAAAGCGUAAUAGCUCACUGGUCGAGUCGGCCUGCGCGGAAGAUGUAACGGGGCUAAACCAUGCACCGAAGCUGCGGCAGCGACACUAUGUGUUGUUGGGUAGGGGAGCGUUCUGUAAGCCUGCGAAGGUGUGCUGUGAGGCAUGCUGGAGGUAUCAGAAGUGCGAAUGCUGACAUAAGUAACGAUAAAGCGGGUGAAAAGCCCGCUCGCCGGAAGACCAAGGGUUCCUGUCCAACGUUAAUCGGGGCAGGGUGAGUCGACCCCUAAGGCGAGGCCGAAAGGCGUAGUCGAUGGGAAACAGGUUAAUAUUCCUGUACUUGGUGUUACUGCGAAGGGGGGACGGAGAAGGCUAUGUUAGCCGGGCGACGGUUGUCCCGGUUUAAGCAUGUAGGCUGGUUGUCCAGGCAAAUCCGGAUAAUCAAGGCUGAGGUGUGAUGACGAGGCACUACGGUGCUGAAGUAACAAAUGCCCUGCUUCCAGGAAAAGCCUCUAAGCAUCAGGUAACAUUAAAUCGUACCCCAAACCGACACAGGUGGUCAGGUAGAGAAUACCAAGGCGCUUGAGAGAACUCGGGUGAAGGAACUAGGCAAAAUGGUGCCGUAACUUCGGGAGAAGGCACGCUGGUGUGUAGGUGAAGCCCCUGCGGGUGGAGCUGAGACCAGUCGAAGAUACCAGCUGGCUGCAACUGUUUAUUAAAAACACAGCACUGUGCAAACACGAAAGUGGACGUAUACGGUGUGACGCCUGCCCGGUGCCGGAAGGUUAAUUGAUGGGGUUAUCCGUAAGGAGAAGCUCUUGAUCGAAGCCCCGGUAAACGGCGGCCGUAACUAUAACGGUCCUAAGGUAGCGAAAUUCCUUGUCGGGUAAGUUCCGACCUGCACGAAUGGCGUAAUGAUGGCCAGGCUGUCUCCACCCGAGACUCAGUGAAAUUGAACUCGCUGUGAAGAUGCAGUGUACCCGCGGCAAGACGGAAAGACCCCGUGAACCUUUACUAUAGCUUGACACUGAACAUUGAGCCUUGAUGUGUAGGAUAGGUGGGAGGCUUUGAAGCGUGGACGCCAGUCUGCGUGGAGCCAACCUUGAAAUACCACCCUUUAAUGUUUGAUGUUCUAACGUUGGCCCCUUACCGGGGUUGCGGACAGUGUCUGGUGGGUAGUUUGACUGGGGCGGUCUCCUCCCAAAGCGUAACGGAGGAGCACGAAGGUUAGCUAAUCCUGGUCGGACAUCAGGAGGUUAGUGCAAUGGCAUAAGCUAGCUUGACUGCGAGCGUGACGGCGCGAGCAGGUGCGAAAGCAGGUCAUAGUGAUCCGGUGGUUCUGAAUGGAAGGGCCAUCGCUCAACGGAUAAAAGGUACUCCGGGGAUAACAGGCUGAUACCGCCCAAGAGUUCAUAUCGACGGCGGUGUUUGGCACCUCGAUGUCGGCUCAUCACAUCCUGGGGCUGAAGUAGGUCCCAAGGGUAUGGCUGUUCGCCAUUUAAAGUGGUACGCGAGCUGGGUUUAGAACGUCGUGAGACAGUUCGGUCCCUAUCUGCCGUGGGCGCUGGAGAAUUGAGGGGGGCUGCUCCUAGUACGAGAGGACCGGAGUGGACGCAUCACUGGUGUUCGGGUUGUCAUGCCAAUGGCACUGCCCGGUAGCUAAAUGCGGAAGAGAUAAGUGCUGAAAGCAUCUAAGCACGAAACUUGCCCCGAGAUGAGUUCUCCCUGAGACUUUAAGUCUCCUGAAGGAACGUUGAAGACGACGACGUUGAUAGGCCGGGUGUGUAAGCGCAGCGAUGCGUUGAGCUAACCGGUACUAAUGAACCGUGAGGCUUAACCUUACAACGCCGAAG